CGGGCUCCUGACUUGCUAUUCCAUCACUUUGUUGCUUGACAUUUGAUUUCUGCACUCUGUUCUCCAGGCGGGCUCCUGACUUGCUAUUUCAUCACCCUGUUCUUCAGGCAGGCUCCUGAAACCCAAAAUUAAAAACUAGAACAAAAUUAUCCCAAACAAAAAUUAUAGUAAAGUGGUAUUUCAUUUUUGAAAACAUUGUCCCAUUUUCUAGGAGGGUCCUGAGCAGAAAGUAAAAUUCCAUUUUUCAGGAGGGUCCUAAACAUAAAGUAAAAUUUCAUUUUUCAGGAUGGUCCUGAACACAAAGUAAAAUCCCAUUUUUUAAGAAGGUCCUGAACAGAAAGUAAAAUCCCAUUUUUCAGGAGGGUCCUGAACAGAAAGUAAAAAUCCCAUUUUUCAGUAGGGUCCUGAACAAAAGUAAAAUCCUAUUUUUUAGGAGAAUUCUGAACAUAAGGUAACAUCCCAUUUUUCAGGAGGGUUUUGAACAGCAAGUAAAAUCCCAUUUUUCAGGAGGGUCCUGAACAAAAGUAAAAUCCCAUUUUUCAGGAGGGUCCUGAACAUAAAGUAAAAUCCCAUUUUUCUGGAGGGUCCUGAACAGAAAGUAAAAUCCUAUUUUUCAGGAGGGUCCUGAACAUAAGGUAAAAUCCCAUUUUUCAGGAGGGUCCUGAACAGAAAUUAAAAUUCCCAUUUUCAGGAGGGUCCUGAAUAGAAAGUAAAAUUCCAUUUUUCAGGAGGGUCCUGAACAAAAAGUAAAAUUCUCAUUUUUCAGGAGGGUCUUGAACAGAAAGUAAAAUCUCACGGAUGUGCAUUUCCAAUGGUAGCUAAAUUAAGUGAAGCGAAUUUGCCCCUAUUUCAACAAAGAAAAUUUGUCAGUUAAAAACUUAGUGGUGGCUUGCAGAUCUUGGCUUCUCAGGUAUCUGCCCAGCACUCGUUCCUUUCAUCUUUGUUCUAAAUCACUAACACUUUCCCUUUCUUGCUGCAUCAUUGACCCGGAUCCAGAUUAAGGGAAAUGAGUUCAGACUCGAACAAUGGGUUUCCAUUUUACCAUGCCCCUGAGGUGCACUAUUUUCCCAAAUCUGAAUGCUUUCACGAAUCUAAUAGUCUGUCAGUUGAUAGACUUCCUUUGAUUCAUGUUGAAUUACAAUCAUAUUUUUUUCAUGUGCUAGUCCUUGGCUUUUUCUCAUAUAAUUGGAAAGACUGGUAGUAAAUUUUGAAAUCCUUUCUCGCUUGUUUUGACACAGACUUGACUUAAAAUGUAAAGANNNNNNNNNNNNNNNNNNNNNNNNNNNNNNNNNNNNNNNNNNNNNNNNNNNNNNNNNNNNNNNAAAGAAAAGGGCAAUGUCCCAUAUUCAAAAAGAAAACUUAUCUGAAUACGACAACCAACUCCAAUGAGUAUGACAUGCAUUUUGGAUUAAGCUGCCUUAUCUUCCUAUCCAAACUCUCCAUUUGUUGUUGAGUUCGUGCCUUUGAUGCUGAGCCGCUUCUUCAAAUCCAUUUGACUCAUACAUCACAUCCAAUUGACGACAUCUUAAAAGACUUUCGCCAACAAAUCUUUUUUUUUUCACUUUUCACUUUUCUCUUGAACUCGUCAUCGCCUUACGGUGCCCGUGAGGAUUUUCACCAAUAAGACUCUCUCAUUUUUAUUUCUCUCCACUCACCAUCACCUUAUGGUGCCUGCGAGGGUUUUCACCAAUAAGACUCUCUCAUUUUCAUUUCUCUCAACUCACCAUCGCCUUAUGAUGCCCACGGGGGUUUUCACCAAUAAGACUCUUAUUUUUGUAUUUCUUUCCUGAUUUCUUAUGUUGAGGGAGACAAGUGGUACCUCACAAUGUAUCAUCAUAUCCAUUGCAUGAUUAGCCUUAACAUUACCAAAAAUUGAUCUGAAGGACUUUCUUUGAUUGUAACUUGGCUUUUGGAUAAGGUUAGAAAAGGAUGGUCCCUUUAAUAUUAUUUUAUCCAAAUAUUUUUUAAUUUUAUAAUAUUAAAUAUAUCACAUAGAAAGUUGAAAUGUCAAAAAUCACAAGGUUUGUCUCAUGAAAAUUAGGCUGAAAGGGGUUGACAAGUUGUUAUUUUGGUGUAUGAAUACAGAAAUUGCUUAUUAAAUAAAUAAACCCUCUGAAUGGUAAAGGGACAGACUUUUUUCAUGCAUGCAGUCUUUUAGGUUUCUAUAUUUAUGUUAUUAAUAAUAGGGACAAGGUUAUUCUAUCGGUAGUAAAAGUGAAUUAGCACUUCAAAAACAGAUUUUCGACCACUUUCCUAGCGCAAUAAUAUACUCUUUUUUCCGUCUCAAAUUAUGUGGCAUAAUUUUUAAAAAUAUUUAUCUUAAAUUAUUUAUCAAUUUGUAUUAUUAAAAAAGAGCAGUUCAUAUGCAACUUUAGUUUAUAUUUCUACCAUUAAAGUGCCCAUUAUAUACAAGGUCUGGAGAAGGGACUCACCACUAAAGUGCCUGUUAUGUACUGGGUCAUACUUUUGACAUUAAAGUGCCCUUUAUAUACAAGGUCUGGAGAAGGGACCCAUCACUAAACUGCCCGUUAUGUACAGGGUCAUAUUUCUACCAAUAAAGUGCCCGUUAUAUACAAGGUCUGGAGAAAGGUCCCACCACUAAAGUGCCUGUUAUGCACAGGGUUCCGAAAAGGGUCCGACACAAGGAUGUAUUGCAUGCAGCCUUAACUUAUAUUUCUGCCACAUAUUUAUGUCAGAGUCAGUUUUCAAGGCUUGAAACCGUGACCUCCCUAUCACAUGACAAUAACUUUCCAAGACUUGAAACCGUGACCUCCUUAUCACAUGACAAUAACUUUACUAGUUACUCCAAGGCUCCCCUUUGUCAAUUUAGAUUAUUAAGAUACAUAAUUAUCCUUUUUCUAUUUUAUUCUUAAUAGUAAUUUUUUUGAAGACUAUAUAUAAAUACUUUAUUAUAAUAAGAUGAAGACAUAUAAAAGGUUUCAUUAAUAGAGAGAAAUUGUUCUUUAAGACAUAAAUAAGUAAGCACUUUUAAGACAUAAUUAAUACAUAUCCAUAUGAGAUUAAGAAAAAAAAAAGAGGUUAUUUCCGAGAGAUUCUCAACAAUCCACUUCUUUUAUCCGAACUUGGAAUCGACAAGUUUAUAGAACACAAGAUUAAAUAAUAUUUUUGAAUAUUUGACAUAACAUUAAUUUAAAAUCACAAGAUUUAAAAAGUCUUUUUUUCUUUCUUUUUAUCAGAGCUACAGAGCAGACAGAGGUCAGUCGGUACACAGUAGUAGUAGUGCUCCUCCUCUGUGGAGCAUCCACAGGUAGUACAAAUCAGUGAAAGUGGUGUUGGGUUCGAAAUCGAGAGGGCGUCAUGCGGAAGAUAUUAGUUACAAACUAUCGUGGUGAUAAUUCAGACGACAAAGAAAACAAUACUAAAAACAUAAUAUUAUUAUAUGAUUUGGCCAAUUGACCUACAUAUAAAACCUAAUAUUAAAAAUAAUACUAAAAAGCAUAAAACUAAUGAGAGAGAAAAUCUUCCUCUAAACAAAACUCUUAAAAGACUAUAUUGUGGGAAGUUCAAACACUAUGAAAAUAAUAAACAAUGGUUAAUUAGUUGGGCAUUUAGAAGUUUUGGGUACUCCAAAUCCCUCUUUUCUUUCUUUUCUCGCGUAGUGUAGGUAACUAAACAAAAAUUUAUGUUUUUAUUUGUAGAUAAUAUUACUGAGUGAUUUCUUUUCUCGUGUAGAUAGCUUAACAAAAGUUUAUGUUUUUAUUGUUAGAUAUUACUGUGAGUGAAGAAGGUGCGGUAGCACAUUUUUGGGAUUUCGUACUACGCGGAUUGGUACUCUUUUCAUUUGUUGGAAAUCGAUUUCAAUUUAUCUUUGUGAAAUUUUGACUUAUUUUAAUUAUUUUAUUGUUAGAUCACUAUUUCUUCGGAGGUAAUGAUAUGGAUUAUGUACAUUUUAUCCUCCCCAAAUUCCACUAUGUGAGAAUACAUUGUGUGUAUUGUUGCUGUUGUUUCAUAUCGCGCCUGUGUAUACAUUGGGCAUUUAGAAGUUUUGGGUUCGAAAUUAAGAGGGCAUCAUGCAGAUGCAAAUCCCUUUCGAAUGAAAUUUAGCAACAAUACGCAGUAUAUAUUGUUAGAUCACUACUUCUUCGGAGGUAGCGAUAUGAACUGUGUACAUUUACUUUAAGAAAAGUAAAACAUAAGUAGUGACGGAUCCAGAAUUUAGGGCUUGUGGGUUAUCGUGAGGUUCGGACACAAAUAUUGAUCUUCAAAGCUUUAAGGUUCCGCUUGAAAACCAAAACACUCAGCUAUCUUUUUUAUUUUCUUGGUGCUUUUUGAAGCUUAUACUAAUUUUUAUAUUUUUUUUUUAUAAUUAUACCUAACAAAUUUAACGGGUAUCGAAGUACCAAAAAUACAUAUAGUUCCACCCCUGCUUAUGAGAGAGUAGACAAAAACUUUAUAUACUUAAGUAGCCAUUGUCCAUGAAACGCCCCACAAAAAUCACUUCAUUUGAAAUUUUAAAGUUGAAGUUGGAGCUGAAAUUGUGUUUAGACAUAGUUUUUACAGUUAAUAUUAAGAAUUUAAAUGUAUUUUUGACCAAAAAAAAUUUGAAUAUGGAAUGAAAUUUAAAUAGCAUUAUUUUAUGAAAAUAAAAAAGUUAGGAAUUUUAUGAGGAAAAAAAAAUUAAAAAGUGAAAAAUUUUAAAACAAGGUUUUGGUUAUUUUGAAUUUGAAAUUUUCAUGAUCAAACACUAUUCUUCAAAGAAAGUGAAAUAAAUUUUUGAAAAUAAGUGAAAAAUAUUAAUGGCCAAAAAUAUCUAAUGAAAUUUAUCAUUCUCGACCAUCUUGAGAAAUUGGAGUUGUGAGUGUUAUAGCUUGUAGGGCUUUUAUCUUGCCCUCUUUCUUCAGAAUGUCGAGGUCCAGAGGGACCUGCUCUAUCCACAGAAGAUUUCUCCCUCCUAUAGAAAUUCCCCCUUUUCUUCUAUUAAUUUGCUAUAGUAAAAAGCCACUUCCUAUAGAAUUACACCACUUCAGUUCGGUGUGCAUUUUUGGGCUAAAUCGGUGUGCUAUAUAGCUCACGGUUUCGGGGAUUGGCCCGGGGUUCGGGUGUGCUGUGGGUCAAAAAUUGACCGGGGAGUGCCAGAGAGGUUGAGGAUUGCCCCAGUGUGGUCCGUUUAAAUUUUCGUGGCCAUUUGGGUGGACAAACGGGCGAAACGGCGGGAAAGGGACAUUUUUAUAGCCAAAUCGGUGUGUUAUAUCCCAUGAUUUCAGGGUAGACAUGGGGUCCGAGCGUGCUGUAGGCCGAAAAUUGAUCGGGGUGUGCCAGGAAGGUUGAGGAUGAUCCCAGUGUGAUCAAUUUAUGCUUAAGAGUGACUGAUGGCGCUAAGUAACUCUUGAUAUAUUAUUGUAAUAGAAGUUACAGAGUAGCAACUAAGCAAGCAUUAGAGCAGAUUUAAAGGAUACUACAAUUAACGGUGAUUAUCUAAGCAUUUAUCUCGAACUCCAAUAACGCUGAACACCAAUCAAGAACUCAAUGAUCUCAUUUCAUUGCCACCAACUUCUUCUUUCUUCCUGCAAAAAUCUGAGCUCUCUUACUCAAAUCCAUGCUUGUAUAAUCACUUCAACAUUCCCAUCACAACCCAUCUCAUAAAUCUUUACUCUUCCUUCAAAAGACCCAAUUUUUCUCGCACCCUUUUUGAUUUAACACCAAACCCACCUCUAAUUCUAUUGAAUUCAAUGAUCAGAGCUUAUAUAAGAGCAAAUCAGCAUCAAGAUUCCUUGAAGGUUACGGGUUCAAGCCUUGGAAUCCAACAGCUUCUGGCAGAAAUACAAGGUACCCGUGUGGUGGAGCCCUUUUCCGGACACCGCGCAUAGUGGUAGCUUUAAUUGCACCAGAUUGCCCUUUUAUGUUCUAUUAAUUUGCUAUAGUAAAAAGUCACUUCCUACAGAAUUACACCUCUUCGUGAGAACAAGUUAUGGAUACAACAUAUGCAAAGGACCCAACCAUAUAACAUACCACUAUAUGGAUACAACAUAUAACAUACCCACAAGUGGGGUUUGGGGAGGGUAGAGUGUACCUAGACCGUGGACACUAAGCCUCGAGUACAUCAAAUCAUAGUAGUAGGUAUGGAAAAAGGGAAAAUAUAGCAACAAAUAAUUAAGUGGAAAGUAACCACCACAAAAUAGUGUGACAACCUAAACGCAUUAAACAACAACAGAUGAAAGUAACAAAUAAUAGAGUUAGCCAGUUGAAUAAGAUUAUAUACCUAAUGGGGAGGGAGACCAGCUAUUGAAACAUGAAAUGCCAUAUGUUUUCAUCUUUACCAUAAUAACUACGUUGAAAUGGCGAGAUUUUUUAGAUACCCAUGAUGUCCAGGUCAUCUUGCACGCAUCUCGACUAAUUUCACGCCCUGCCACCUCCCACCGGCACAAACGUCUCGUCUCAAGAAUCAACCAAUGCAAUAUGCUUCAACUAAACGAGAUACAAAAUAAUAAAACAUCACAGUAAAAUUAUCUUAUACAGAAUAAUCGAUGAAUGGCACACUCUAAUUUUUUCUUAAACUUUUGGCGAAUUCCCUCUUUUCUUCUAUUAAUUUGCUAUAGUAAGAAUCCACUUCCUACAGAAUUACACCACUUCAGUUCAGGGCCUAAAGAUUGUAAAGUUGAAAUCUCAAAACAAUUGGAGGAGCAAAGUUGAGCGAUUAAACCUCACGUUUGGUAUGUUGUUUAAUGGAUGUUGUUGUUUUUUGGCAUCCAUAUGAUGCCUUCGAAAGAAAUAAAAAGAAGUUAAAGCUAGAAAACAAUAGUAAGCAUAUUAUAAACUCUUUUCUUUUAUGUUAAGUUAGGAUAUCCAUUAAUGUCUUCCUUCACUAUCUUUUCAUAAUACCCUUCUAGAGAUCCUUUAUCUAACAUAGUUUCAAAUGCCAUUGAUAAAGAAAGCCUACCAGCAGCUUAAUGAAAAAAAUUGUACAUCGAGUUAGCAAACUAAUGCGAUAAAGAUAUUUACUGAGAAAUUAGAACCUAUAUGGGAAAAGUUUUACUCAAAUUUACGUAUUUAGAGGAGUUUGUUCCGUAAGGAUCGUCGGCUGAACAAUCAACAUCAACAAACAGAACCAACAAAAAAUUUCUCACAGAGUUUCAUUAAACUCAAUACAUCUAAUAGUAAUCUCCCUAAGUCGUUUGUUCAGAGCUGUAAACCAUAUUGACGAGCGUAAACAUGAAUAUAAUUAUUUGAUGAAGAAUAAACAUAGAGAAAAGCAUUAGAUACCUCGCUUUCUUGUAGCUAUUGAGAAUACUUCUUCCAGCCAUCAUCGUCAAACACAAAUUGAUCAUCUGAAUCUGAAUCUUCCAUAUCAGGCGUCAUUGGUAAAGGAUCCAAUUUUUUGGAGUCGCUCGAAUCAUCAUCCCCUUUCCCCUCCUCCUCCUCAUCAUCAUUAAGCUUUUGCUUCUUCACCUCCGAUUCCAACUCCAAAUCCGAAUCCGAAUCACUCGAAACACUCGAAACAUACGAGCAUUCGGAUGAUUCGCUCGAGAAAUCAUCCAUCACGAUUCCGAUCUCAGCCGGUGUCGGUUGUGGAGGUAGUGGCAGUAGCCGCAGCGGCGGAGGUGACGGUUGCUCGGAAAACAUCACAACGAAUUGACAUACCAAAAC
rnacentral:lncRNA from 1 species